UAGUACUGCGAGUGAGCGGGAAAAGCUCAAAUUUAAAAUCUGGCGGUCUUUGGCCGUCCGAGUUGUAGUCUGGAGAAGCGUCUUCCGCGCUGGACCGUGUACAAGUCUCUUGGAACAGAGCGUCAUAGAGGGUGAGAAUCCCGUCUUUGACACGGACUACCAGUGCUUUGUGAUGCGCUCUCAAAGAGUCGCGUUGUUUGGGAAUGCAGCGCAAAAUGGGAGGUGAAUUCCUUCUAAAGCUAAAUAUUGGCGAGAGACCGAUAGCGAACAAGUACCGUGAGGGAAAGAUGAAAAGCACUUUGGAAAGAGAGUUAAACAGUACGUGAAAUUGCUGAAAGGGAAACGCUUGAAGUCAGUCGCGUCGUCCGGAACUCAGCCUUGCUUCGGCUUGGUGCACUUUCCGGUUGACGGGCCAGCAUCGAUUUUGACCGCUGGAAAAGGGCUGGAGGAAUGUGGCACCUUCGGGUGUGUUAUAGCCUUCAGUCGCAUACAGCGGUUGGGAUCGAGGAACGCAGCGCGCCUUAUGGCUGGGGUUCGCCCACAUUCGCGCUUAGGAUGCUGGCAUAAUGGCUUUAAACGACCCGUCUUGA
rnacentral:rRNA from 1 species